rnacentral:rRNA from 1 species
GAUGAACGCUGGCGGAGUGCCUAAUACAUGCAAGUCGAGCGAAGCGGGGACGGGUGAGUAACACGAGGAUAACCUCCUAUACGACUGGGAUAACUUCGGGAAACCGGAGCUAAACCGGCUACUUAUAGAUGGAUCCGCGCUGCAUUAGCUAGUUGUUAAGGUCACGGCUUCCCACAGACACGAUGCAUAUCCGGCCUGGGAGGGUGUGCGGCCACACUGGAACUGAGACACGGUCCAGACUCCUACGUGAGGCAGCAGUAGGGAAUCUUCCGCAAUGGGCGAAACCCUGACGGAGCAACGCCGCGUGAGUGAUGAAGGUCUUCGGAUCGUAAAACUCUGUUAUGAGGGAAGCGGUACCUAAUCAGAAAGCCACGGCUAACUACGUGCCAGCAGCCGCGGUAAUUC